AUUCCAGCUCCAGUAGCGUAUAUUAAAGUUGUUGCAGUUAAAAAGCUCGUAGUUGGAUUUCUGGUUUCACAGAACUGGCCUACUUCCUCAAGGUCGUGUGCGCCGUGUUUUGUGUACCAUCCUUCUAGAAAUUGUGUUCCAUCCCUUCACUGGGAUAGAUCCGAGAUCUAGAUCUUUUACUUUGAAGAAAUUAGAGUGUUCAAAGCAGGCUCGCGCUGUGAAUACAUUAGCAUGGAAUAAUAAUUUAGGACUUGGUAUCCUAUUUUGUUGGUUUUCAGGAUCUAAGUAAUGAUUGAUAGGGAUAGUUGGGGGUGCUAGUAUUUUGCGGCCAGAGGUGAAAUUCUGUGAUUCGCGAAAGACUAACUUAUGCGAAAGCAUUCACCAAGGAUGUCUUCAUCA
rnacentral:rRNA from 1 species